rnacentral:rRNA from 1 species
UACGAAGGGGGCUAGCGUUGCUCGGAAUCACUGGGCGUAAAGCGCACGUAGGCGGAUUGUUAAGUCGGGGGUGAAAUCCUGGAGCUCAACUCCAGAACUGCCUUCGAUACUGGCGAUCUUGAGUCCGGGAGAGGUGAGUGGAACUCCGAGUGUAGAGGUGAAAUUCGUAGAUAUUCGGAAGAACACCAGUGGCGAAGGCGGCUCACUGGCCCGGUACUGACGCUGACGGUGCGAAAGCGUGGGAGCAAACAGG